rnacentral:lncRNA from 1 species
UGAAAGUAAAGUAUAUGGUUUUAGAUACUGUGAAUCUGUUGUUUUCCGUUUAGCCAAAUAUCUGCUUAAAUUGUUCAUGUCCUAAAGAAGAGUUCAUCCUGACAGUUCUCUCAUUCGUGGGUGUUGAUGUAUGCACACACGCUAUCAAGACUUAAUGCUUUGCUAAAACUGGCUGCAGACCAGGUGAUUUUAGAAUCUGCACUUCAGAGAUAAAGAAACCUGCAAGCUCUCCCCUGUGCCAAAAAUACCACAUACAGUGUUUACAAAUGUCUAGAAUUUUGCACUGCCAUAGGGUACCUGAGGUUACUUUACUGGAAUUGUCCGCAUCUGUGAUUAGCUGAGUUGCAGUUUAGCAUAUGAGGAGAAAUAUUGGAGACUCUAAAGCUAAACUGGAAAUGGAAAUUAUCUGCGGUGGUGGUUCAGGUGACCCCCCAGACCUAAUCUGGAAACAGUUUUUUCCAGAUGGCCUUGAGAUACUCUUUUUGUUGAUAGAGCUUUCCUUGCUGGCCAUUGCUAUAUUCUUUCUUUAGCAACCAGAUCUCUUUUUCUUCUGUGGGAAAAUGUCCUAUUAGUAUUUUGAGAUCUUUUAAUGCAAUGAAUAUGCAAUCCCAAAUAAUGCCACUGUUGGUGAAUGUGGUAUUGUUAAAAUAUUAUAAUAAGCUUACACUUGGGGUUUCCUGUACUUCUCUCAAGAGCCUUUUGAAUGACUGGAAUGUCACAGAGAAAGAAGUGUUCAGAAAGAGGUAGUUAGUAUUUCUGGGAAGCUUACCUGAAAUCCAGGAUGCUGCUUCUGCAGGUUGCUCUUCACUGGGGAUCUUUAUUAAAUGUCAUCUUGGAGGAUAGCCCAGCAGGUAGAACUGCUUAUUUCUUGGGGCAGGAUGGGUCAAGAAUCCUAAAAGGGGCCAGAUGGUGCUGUCAGAGCAAUUCCUUUCUCAGUUGCUGUAGUUUGAAAAAUACUUGUUGUAGUUGCUGUAGUUUGAUAAAUACUUUAUUGAAAAUUAAUACUUAAAACAUUUUAUCAGAAUAUCUGAUUUCUUAUCCCAAGGCUUUUUUUUGUUUUUGUUUUUAAACAGUAAAAACUUUGUUGUCAGACAUUUCCCAUUCCUGUUGUUCUUUUUCCUUGGAAUUCAAAGUUAUUAUCUACUUCUGGAUAUUGCUUUUAUAUUGAAGGCCUUUCUGUAUCACCCCUUGGACGGUUGUAACUCCAGUGUCUUUAGAUAAUAUUCCUCUUUUCCAGUCAGUCCUGGGGAAUGUUUCUCCUGCAGAAUUAGGUGGUGGAGUCUAGCAAUAAGAAGCAAAGACAUGACAUCAGAGCUACUGUCUAUUAAAAACAACUGUAGAUGAAGAUUUGUGUGUAUGAACUGUUUAUUUCAUCAGUGUGUUGGAGUGUAGGAGAUUUGUGUAUGUGAGCUG